rnacentral:miRNA from 1 species
UAUCUAAAAGUGAUAAUUG